AGCAGCCGCGGUAAUUCCAGCUCCAAUAGCGUAUAUUAAAGUUGUUGCAGUUAAAAAGCUCGUAGUUGAAUUUCGGGAUCAAUUUAUUGGUCGUGCUAUUGUACGUACUGGUAUUAUUGAUUCCUACCUUCUGACGAACCAUGAUGUCAUUAAUUUGGUGUCUUGGGGAAUCAGGACUGUUACUUUGAAAAAAUUAGAGUGUUUAAAGCAGGCUCACGCUUGAAUACAUUAGCAUGGAAUAACGAAAUAGGACGUUUGAUUCUAUUUUGUUGGUUUCUAGGAUCGACGUAAUGAUUAAUAGGGAUAGUUGGGGGCAUUAGUAUUCAAUUGUCAGAGGUGAAAUUCUUGGAUUUAUUGAAGACUAACUACUGCGAAAGCAUUUGCCAAGGAUGUUUUCAUUAAUCAAGAACGAAAGUUAGGGGAUCGAAGACGAUCAGAUACCGUCGUAGUCUUAACCAUAAACUAUGCCGACUAGGAUCGGAUGAUGUUAAUUUUUAAUGACUCAUUCGGCGCCUUAAC
rnacentral:rRNA from 1 species